rnacentral:rRNA from 1 species
UACGUAGGGUGCAAGCGUUGUCCGGAAUUGAUUGGGCGUAAAGAGCUCGUAGGCGGUUCGUCGCGUCGGCUGUGAAAACCCGGAGCUCAACUCCGGGCCUGCAGUCGAUACGGGCGGACUUGAGUGUUGCAGGGGAGACUGGAAUUCCUGGUGUAGCGGUGAAAUGCGCAGAUAUCAGGAGGAACACCGGUGGCGAAGGCGGGUCUCUGGGCAACUACUGACGCUGAGGAGCGAAAGCGUGGGGAGCGAACAGG